AACUUGCCUUAACGGAGAAGCAGAUCCCAGAUGUUCCAGAGAACGCAGUGAGUUUUUCAGACCUCAGGCGUUUGCUGAGACCUUUAGAAAGAAAGUAAGACAUGAGAGAGAUGCGAGAAAUCCAUGCUGUAGGAUGGAGAGUGAUAGCGUUGCGAACCUGCGUGCUUGUGAAAUGAAAUAUUCAGUGGCGAUAAGUCAUUUGAUUGACCUUGAGAUGGUCCAUAAUCGACAGAAAGACAAAAACAAACAAACUGAAAAUAAAUCAAAAUGUUACUCUUUGCUAUAGCAGCUAUACUAUAACAGUUUGUUCGAGCAGAAUUGUGACCCAGACCCAUUCAGGUUGUAUGUUGGGUUGCCAGUUGUAUUUGUACUUAGAAUGAACAGGCAGAGGGCAACAAAAAGUCUUGGGUAAAUGUGGAUAAGACAGAGGGACUCAGUGAUGUAAACAUUCCUGAUCACCCGAUCAUCAUCUUCUCUCUGCUUGUGUCCUAUACAGUAUGGUAGAUGUUCAGCCUGGAUGCAUU